rnacentral:lncRNA from 1 species
AUGUACCUGGAGCCAUGUGGGAAACAGGAUGCCGUUGCUGGUUUUGAUGAGACGCCACCAGUGUCCCAGCACUGUGUCCAACAUGCAUCUGGAGGGACUGACACAGAUCGUUGGACAAUACAGCAAAAUGACUCUUCAUGCCUAGUAGGUAGCGCACAGGGUGAUGGUGGUCUGGCACCUAUCCUGGAAGAACAGGCCAGGAGGCAGGAUACACCUUGGUGGGGACACAAGCCGUUCUCAAGGACAGUGACAUGAACCACGUGCCUUUCGGCCCACAUGCUUAAGUGGCGCUCUACCCAUUGCUCCGCAUUACUCAUCUCCUUCAAGGCACAAGGAAGUCAGCGUGUGGUCCUUUAUGGAUGACGAGUUCCACUCCAGGAGUCACAAUAGAUGCCUGAACAGAUGUCAUCACUGGAGAUUUUGAUUCUAAGCUAAUUAUGGUGGAAGAGUCAAAACAGAUAUCCAGAUUCAUGUCUGGAACUGCAGCAUACAUGACCAUAAAGAUGUUUUCCGCAAUUUCCCGAACCCCUCCAGAAUGGGUGUGGACAGACAAGCCCGUGCAGCGCGUCACCUCCAGCAUCCUUCUGGCACAGGGAGUGUGAGCGUCGCACUGGGCAUGGGGCAUGAAGCCUUGCGUGCCCCCACUAAUCCGAGCCACUGAAUUACAUGGAACUCACUGAUCCUGCAUUAUGUGUGGUGGCGUGCCUCUGAGCUGAGUUUUCGCACCCACCUGUAAAAAAAAAAAACAGACACAAUGACACUUGCAAUGGGGUGAAGGUGUAAAGGUCAGUGACUGCGUGCAAACGUUUUACUGGGUGUGAACCUACCUUUCUCACGAGGACCGAGAGCUGAACACACACCAUUAUUUGUGCCUGAAAUUACCCAGAGUAGCAGAUUUCCUACAUGCUGUGACAACUCCUAGGAAAAUACAUCGACUUAACACGAUCUUGUCAACAAUAAGCCAGCGGCGGUACAUUCAUAAAAGUACAGUAGUAAAAUGACACUUGAUACCAUGCACAUCGCCUUGGAAAAAGGUAGCAAAGAAACACAUAAACAUAAAAUAAUAAACAGCAGAGAAGCAAAGACA